GUGGUUGUGACCGCCAGGAAACCGAGAACGGAAUGCCAAUACUGCUUAGGCUUAGAAUUUGAAAGGCAUCUGAUUUCACUGCCAUGUCUUUGAAAAGCAGUGCACAGUGCAGUCUUCUUCGUGGCUGAACAGCCGCUCUAUGUCUUUUGAUUGGAGAGUUUAAUCAAACAGAAGGAGUCUUCCACUGUAGCCACCACAGCUGGGAAUGAGCUAAGGUCUUGCUAUGUUGCCUAGACUGGUUUUGAACUCCUGGGCUGAAGCAAUCCUCCCACUUCGGCCUCUCAAAGUGCUGGGAUAUCAGACAUAAGCCACCUGACAUGCUUGGCCUAUCAGAGCUGAAUAAUUGUAUUGGAGAAUGUGUGGCCCACAAAGCUUGACUAUCUGGCCCUAUACAGAAGAAGUUUGCUGAUCUCUGACUUAGCUGCCUGGGGAUAGCCAGGCAACCAGCUGCUACUUUGAGCACCCGGCUAAAAUAAGCAGAGACAACUGGAAGGCUUGAUGUGAAAAAGAGCUGUUAAAGUGUACACAAGCAAGCUGACUGCCUUAUGACUAAUACUUGACAGAACCCAGCAAGAGGAUAUGAGAUUGCAGAUGGAUGACCUCAAUCCUGAACAGAAAGGCGUGCAUGAUAAUGGAGAGAAAAAAGCCAAUGGGAAAAAAGAACCCACCACUAUUUUUUUUUAAUAGCCUAACACACAAAAAAAAUAACUGGUUUUCCUUUUUCUGUAAUGUGUCUGUAGAGCUGGCUAUUCUGAUUAAAGUUGCCCUUGAAAAAGCAA